rnacentral:rRNA from 1 species
UACAGAGGGUGCGAGCGUUGUCCGGAAUCACUGGGCGUAAAGGGCGCGUAGGUGGCGACCCAAGUCGAUGGUGAAAGCUCGCCGCUCAACGGCGAGUCGGCCACUGAUACUGGGUGCUCGAGCACUGUAGAGGCAGAUGGAAUUCCGGGUGUAGCGGUGGAAUGCGUAGAGAUCCGGAAGAACGACCGGUGGCGAAGGCGG